rnacentral:rRNA from 1 species
UACAGGGGGUGCAAACGUUGCUCGGAAUCAUUGGGCGUAAAGCGCACGUAGGCGGUUCGUUAUGUCGGAUGUGAAAGCCCUUGGCUUAACCGAGGAAGUGCAUCCGAAACUGGCGAGCUAGAGUACGAAAGAGGAUCGCGGAAUUCCCGGUGUAGAGGUGAAAUUCGUAGAUAUCGGGAGGAACACCGGUGGCGAAGGCGGCGAAUCUGGGUCGAGUACUGACGCUGAGGUGCGAAAGCGUGGGGAG